rnacentral:lncRNA from 1 species
AAAAGUUCAAAAAAAAAAUUAUAUAAAGAAGAUCAUAAUAAUUGUCUGUUUAUAUUUAUACAAAUCCUAAACGUAGAGAUCGGAUAUAUUUAAGUUUUGGUAGUUUGUAUUUUUUUUAAAGUUUGUCAAGAUAGGAGUAAAUAAAGCGGCAACAAAGUUAAGAAAUUUUGUAAUUAAUUGACCACCGAUCCUAUUUGAGUUUUUUUCUGCCGACGUUAUUCUUUUUAUUUUAUUUUCUAUUUCCACCCAUUUUUGCAGGUAAGCAUCAAAUUUCAACAACGUGUGAACCCACCGAGCACCACAACAGUAACAAUACACUUCAAUCAAUUGAUAUUUGUGUCGUCCAGAUUUGACCAAACGUUCGUUGAUUAAGAUGUUUAUCAGAACUGGUACAUAACUUUAUAAUAACG